rfam:Asian citrus Psyllid, Diaphorina citri - Florida Strain, whole genome shotgun sequence.
GCUCCCAUGGCUCAGUGGUCAUAGCACUCGCCUUGCACGCGGGAGUCUCGGGUUCGAUUCCCGGGCGGGGACA